AGUGAACGCUGGCGGUAGGCCUAACACAUGCAAGUCGAACGGCAGCACAGGAGAGCCUGCUCUCUGGGUGGCGAGUGGCGGACGGGUGAGGAAUACAUCGGAAUCUACUCUGUCGUGGGGGAUAACGUAGGGAAACUUACGCUAAUACCGCAUACGACCUACGGGUGAAAGCAGGGGACCUUCGGGCCUUGCGCGAUUGAAUGAGCCGAUGUCGGAUUAGCUAGUUGGCGGGGUAAAGGCCCACCAAGGCGACGAUCCGUAGCUGGUCUGAGAGGAUGAUCAGCCACACUGGAACUGAGGCACGGUCCAGACGCCUACGGGAGGAAGCAGUGGGGAAUAUUGGACAAUGGGCGCAAGCCUGAUCCAGCCAUACCGCGUGGGUGAAGAAGGCCUUCGGGUUGUAAAGCCCUUUUGUUGGGAAAGAAAUCCAGCUGGCUAAUACCCGGUUGGGAUGACGGUACCCAAAGAAUAAGCACCGGCUAACUUCGUGCCAGCCGCCGCGGUAA
rnacentral:rRNA from 1 species